UACGUAGGGUGCGAGCGUUAAUCGGAAUUACUGGGCGUAAAGCGUGCGCAGGCGGUUUUGUAAGCCAGAUGUGAAAUCCCCGGGCUUAACCUGGGAAUGGCAUUUGGGACUGCAAGGCUGGAGUGUGGCAGAGGAGACUGGAAUUCCCGGUGUAGCGGUGAAAUGCGCAGAUAUCGGGAGGAACACCAAUUGCGAAGGCAGCUCGCUGGGACGUUACUGACGCUGAGACGCGAAAGCGUGGGGAGCAAACAGG
rnacentral:rRNA from 1 species